rnacentral:rRNA from 1 species
UACGUAGGGGGCUAGCGUUGUCCGGAAUUACUGGGCGUAAAGAGCUCGUAGGUGGUUUGUCGCGUUGUCCGUGAAAACUCACAGCUUAACUGUGGGCGUGCGGGCGAUACGGGCAGACUGGAGUACUGCAGGGGAGACUGGAAUUCCUGGUGUAGCGGUGGAAUGCGCAGAUAUCAGGAGGAACACCGGUGGCGAAGGCGGGUCUCUGGGCAGUAACUGA